GGUUCUAAGGUGUAUUUUACAUAUUUAAUUGCAAAUUAAAAGUUACUAAAAAAAUUUAGUUAGAACUU
rnacentral:tRNA from 1 species